GUAUGUGCAUUUUGCUCCUUGUAACUCCUUGUUCCUUUACUGUUUGGUAUUAGAGCAGCAGAUCGGAGCCAUAAACCAGGCCUCCACGUUGCUGAAUGCUGCACAAAAGCAAAUGAAGGCUGCUGUCCAUCUCACACCUCCAUCCCACCUCUGUGCUCUGUUUCCAUCACUGCAUCAUGUCUUCCCCUUCCACCCUCUGUCAUAAGAGUAGAGGCAGGAAAAAAAGAAAUUGUUCCUAAGGCGGAGCAAGCGGAAACCAAUACAAUUAAAUACUUUGCUUUGCCUGCCAAGGACAUUUGACUGCUACUGUGCUACAUCAGGGAGGAGGUGCUGGGGGUGCUCUGCAUUGUCAUCUGGAGAAUGUCAGCGUGUAGAAAAGCUCUCCCCAGAUUGGGAUGCUGGAUACGAGGCAGCCACAGUUGGAGAUGCCCAGCUUUGCCCCCUCUGAUUUCAUGCUGAAACAUUAACAAGAGCUGACACUGGAGAUUAGAAGCAGACAGCUGGAAUGCCAGGUCUUUGUUGCAGCAUGGACAUGAGCCAACAUCGUUCAACCGCAGCCAAGAGGGACCUGGGAAAGUCUUCUUAAGAAGGGGAGGUAGAAAGGGGGAGACAAGGUAGUUUACUGAAGGGCAUAUACAAGUAGAUAAUUGCAGAGUCCUUUCAUCUUUUAAAGCCAAAUUCUAAUCAAUCCUGGUUUAUUAAGGGGAAAGAGGGUCAUUAAAGGUAAAUUUUGCACUGGAAGAGGAGGGAAAAAAAAAUAGCCAUUUAAACUCAGCGAGCAUAAAAGUUUGCAUAGAAAGCAACUGCACGUCCACAGGCACCUCUAAUUUGUCUGCCUAACAAUCGUGAUUAUUUGCAGUGCUUCCAUUUGAAAGUGCAGCGCCGGUCUCCUUUAAAAAAAAAAAAAAGAGAUUUAAUCCACUUAGUUCCAGGUGAAUAAAUUGAGAAAUAAAAAUGGAUUUAUGUGCUGGUGCAGUGUGCGAACUGUAAAUUCCCAGGCCAAAAGGAGGAGGUAGCAUAGCAGAACAUUCUUGUGUCUAAUAAAUUGUUUCCUGAGAACAGAAACCUAAUAAA
ensembl:lncRNA